rnacentral:rRNA from 1 species
GACGAACGCUGGCGGCGUGCUUAACACAUGCAAGUCGAACGGAAAGGCCCUGCUUUUGUGGGGUGCUCGAGUGGCGAACGGGUGAGUAACACGUGAGUAACCUGCCCUUGACUUUGGGAUAACUUCAGGAAACUGGGGCUAAUACCGGAUAGGAGCUCCUGCUGCAUGGUGGGGGUUGGAAAGUUUCGGCGGUUGGGGAUGGACUCGCGGAUUAUCAGCUUGUUGGUGGGGUAGUGGCUUACCAAGGCUUUGACGGGUAGCCGGCCUGAGAGGGUGACCGGCGACAUUGGGACUAAGGUACGGCCCAGACUCCUACGGGGGGCAGCAGGGGGGAAUAUUGCACAAUGAGCGGAAGCCUGAUGCAGCAACGCCGCGUGCGGGAUGACGUCCUUCGGGUUGUAAACCGCUUUCGCCUGUGACGAAGCGUGAGUGACGGUAAUGGGUAAAGAAGCACCGGCUAACUACGUG